ensembl:lncRNA
GGACUUUUCAGACAUCUCUCCCUCUGUCCCUCAUGGCUGCUGUCUUGCUGUCUUUCACUUUUCUUGGGCUGAGCCAGGCUGCAAGGGGGUCAUGCUCUGUUAUGGAAGGACAGAGAGGAAGGAACAAGAACAGUGAAUUUUUUAGUUUUCGUCCCUCAACAAUACAUAUUCCCAGUAAAUAUUCCCAAGAUAUAUGCUGAUGAGGACAUAGGAAGAACAGCGUUAGGAGGCUUGCAGCAAGAAGUAGAAAGUGUACGACAGGAAGUGGGAGAAGAUACAAGUUCUACCAACAUAUAGUUGGGGUGUUGGAAGAGAUAGAAUUGGAGUCAUCAUUUGGGUAACUGGAGAUAUGAAACUAAAGUAUGAAAAGGGAGAGUUGUGGAAUUUGAAGAUAAAAGAUUACAUGGAUAUGAAUGAAGAAGAGUCAAAAGUGUUUUCUGGAAAUAAAAUGGUUUAGUUUGAAGUCUUUUUACUGACCACAUCAUCUGUGUCUGUGUGAAGAGGAAGAAAGCUCUUCUUAUGAAGCAGAGAUGGAGAGGUCCGUGGCUGACACAGAAGCCACGCUGCAUUGCAUUUCUGAAAGUUUUCAUACCUUCACCAUCACCGAUAAGAUACAAGCUCUGAUGACUGUUCAGAUGGAGAAAAGCAGCUUUCUGUAACACAAACCUACAUUUUAAGAAAAGGUCCAGCAGAAUAGUGGACAGUGAGUUGCUAUGAGAAGGCAAAAAGAAAACCCAGACAAACAACAAACCAGAACAAAAACAAAACAGGAAAUCAAGCUCAAGUGGGACUGAUUCCAAACACUGACCAAUUUUAUCCUGACUGCAAUUUUGCCUUGACCUUUCCUGACUAAAGCAAAAUGAGGCUGGCUACGUGGAGAGGUUUUCUGCAGUGUUUAUACUCUGUUAAAAAAAUGGUACUAUAUCCUCCCUGGAUGACAGUGAAUCAUAUAAAAUGAACCCUAAGGAAACUGUAUGAAAGAGAAAAUGAACGUAAGUAGUGGAAGACAAAUCACAUGGAGUAAUACAGUUACUGUAGACUUCUCAUAUCUUCUCCUUUUAGCCUCCAAACAUAACACUGAAAUUGCUGUACAAGAAACCCCAAUCAGUGAGAGUAUUAUAUGAAACAAUGUGAAAGACAAGAACAGACUUCAAAGUCAUGUUUCAACUUACGAACUAUAUGCAUAGUAUUAGGAAAAAUGGAAUCAGUUAUUAUAUUAUUUGCAUGACAUAUCUUACCACAUGCUAGUAACUAAACUACUAGUAGCUAUUGUUAUUAGGUAUUGUGGUCUGAGUGCCUAUGAGCAGCACUGUCGAACACCGCAAGACAAAGUCUGUUUGUUCCUGUGAAGGUUUCUACCUUUUUUUGUUUUUUGUAUUGGUCUUUAGUGAAGUUGAAGGGAAGACAGAAAGAAAAAAAAUAGGAAAUAAUAUAUUUUGCAAAUGAAUAGGCACAAUAACUAGAGGAGGUACCUGCAGCAAAUCUUAACUAUUUUUUACUUGACUUAUCUUCAAGUUAUUUAGGACGCUGUUACUGCUCUUUGGAUGUCUAAGCAGGCCACUUUAAGCAUUUAAGUAAAUGCAUUCAAGUAGGAAAUGUGAGGCAAAAUGAUUUUAUUUAAUGUUCUGCAGUGGAAAAAAUUAUAUUCGAUGUGUUAUGUGUAACUGGUCAUAUGUUGAGAGCUUUUCUUCCCACA